rnacentral:rRNA from 1 species
UACGGAGGAUCCAAGCGUUAUCCGGAUUUAUUGGGUUUAAAGGGUGCGUAGGUGGCCUGGUAAGUCAGGGGUGAAAGACGGUAGCUUAACUAUCGCAGUGCCUUUGAUACUGAUGGGCUUGAAUGUACUUGAGGUAGGCGGAAUGUGACAAGUAGCGGUGAAAUGCAUAGAUAUGUCACAGAACACCAAUUGCGAAGGCAGCUUACUAAAGUAUGAUUGACGCUGAGGCACGAAAGCGUGGGGAUCAAACAGG